rnacentral:rRNA from 1 species
UACGUAGGGGGCAAGCGUUGUCCGGAUUUACUGGGCGUAAAGAGCGUGUAGGCGGCCAAACAGGUCCGUUGUGAAAACUGGAGGCUCAACCUCCAGACGUCGACGGAAACCGUGUGGCUAGAGUCCGGAAGAGGAGAGUGGAAUUCCUGGUGUAGCGGUGAAAUGCGCAGAUAUCAGGAAGAACACCAAUGGCGGAGGCAGCUCUCUGGGACGGUACUGACGCUGAGACGCGAAAGCGUGGGGAGCGAACAGG